rnacentral:rRNA from 1 species
CGUAGGGUGCAAGCGUUGUCCGGAAUUAUUGGGCGUAAAGAGCUCGUAGGCGGUCUGUCGCGUCGGCUGUGAAAACCCGGGGCUCAACCCCGGGCCUGCAGUCGAUACGGGCAGACUAGAGUGCGGUAGGGGAGACUGGAAUUCCUGGUGUAGCGGUGAAAUGCGCAGAUAUCAGGAGGAACACCGGUGGCGAAGGCGGGUCUCUGGGCCGUAACUGACGCUGAGGAGCGGAAGCGUGGGGAGCGAACAGG